GACGAACGCUGGCGGCGUGCUUAACACAUGCAAGUCGAACGGUAAGGCCCUUUCGGGGGUACACGAGUGGCGAACGGGUGAGUAACACGUGGGUGAUCUGCCCUGCACUUUGGGAUAAGCCUGGGAAACUGGGUCUAAUACCGGAUAGGACUACGCGAUGCAUGUCGUGUGGUGGAAAGCUUUUGCGGUGUGGGAUGGGCCCGCGGCCUAUCAGCUUGUUGGUGGGGUGAUGGCCUACCAAGGCGACGACGGGUAGUCGGCCUGAGAGGGUGUCCGGCCACACUGGGACUGAGAUACGGCCCAGACUCCUACGGGAGGCAGCAGUGGGGAAUAUUGCACAAUGGGCGCAAGCCUGAUGCAGCGACGCCGCGUGGGGGAUGACGGCCUUCGGGUUGUAAACCCCUUUCAGCACAGACGAAGCGUAAGUGACGGUAUGUGCAGAAGAAGCACCGGCCAACUACGUG
rnacentral:rRNA from 1 species